UCACAGUUCAGUAGCUCAGGAAUUUUUAAUAAUCAGGGGAAUUAAGUAAUAAUUUUCUGGAAUGGACUGAGCUAAAUUUUCUUGGGUCCUUCAUUUUGAGUCUUAGCACAGAGUCCUAAAACAAGUCUAGUAGUUAAUUUUAGUUUUAUAUUUGGGGUUCAAGUCCUAAAAGGGUUAGGAUUCAUCUUAAGUCUAUAAACACCUAAGCAUGUAAUGUUUUAUUAUUCAGUUUCCAGUGAAUAAAUUCCAGCAAUAUAACUUCUUUGAGCAGUGUGAUGCAAUUAUAACCCAGAAAGUGUGAGGCUUUCUUGAUAGGAGUGAGUCCUAGAUCCUCCUACCACGAGGCUAAGAGUUUUGUCUUGCUUGCUUAAUUUUCUCUUUAAUUUAACCAGACCUGCCAAGUU
rnacentral:misc_RNA from 1 species